rnacentral:tRNA from 1 species
GCGGGAAUAGCUCAGUUGGUAGAGCACGACCUUGCCAAGGUCGGGNNNGCGAGUUCGAGUCUCGUUUCCCGCUCCA